rnacentral:rRNA from 1 species
ACGAACGCUGGCGGCGUGCCUAACACAUGCAAGUCGAGCGAAGGGAGUACUACGGUACGAACUUAGCGGCGGACGGGUGAGUAACGCGUGGACAAUCUACCCUGUAGACUGGGAUAACACCUCGAAAGGGGUGCUAAUACCGGAUAAUGUCGAGAAGCGGCAUCGCUUUUCGAAGAAAGGAGGGAAUCCGCUAUAGGAGGAGUCCGCGUCCCAUUAGCUAGUUGGUGAGGGUAACGGCCCACCAAGGCGACGAUGGGUAGCCGGCCUGAGAGGGUGAACGGCCACACUGGAACUGAGACACGGUCCAGACUCCUACGGGAGGCAGCAGUGGGGAAUAUUGUGCAAUGGGGGAAACCCUGACACAGCGACGCCGCGUGAGUGAAGAAGGCCUUCGGGUCGUAAAGCUCAAUAGUAUGGGAAGAUAAUGACGGUACCAUACGAAAGCCCCGGCUAACUACGU